AAUAAAACUUAUAACAUAUGCACGUUCUACAAAUUUCAUAUGAUGCCUUUUUCCUUUGUUACAGGAAUCAUUUCGAGCGGUUCUCCAAUCAAAACAAGAUCUAGACUACAAACUGUGGGAUAUAAUUCACAACGAGCCGGAGGAACCGAAGCUCGAGGAAGAAUGAAAGGCUCUCGAGGAAGGAGCGAGGAGGCAGCCCACCACCGCUAUCGCCCGAGGGGAAUCCACCCUCCGUCCCCGCUUCCAGAAUCCCGCACAGAUAUUUCAUAACCCUUCCUCUAUCCCCGACCGUCCCGUCCCUAUUAAUUGCCGCGCCAAAUAACCCGUGAUACAUUCCAUCCGAAACCGGAAGUCCAGCGAUACCCAUACGCGCCUUCCAGGAAAAUUCCCGUCGGAAAAUACUAUCGCCAUUCGUGCAGCUCUUGAAAGCCGAGAGAGUGUAAACCGUUCGCUUCCACUAUCUAGCGACGAACCUUUAUCAACUGGAAAGGGCUCGAUUCAGCAUCGACCGUGUGAAUGGCGUGAAAGAAAUCGGGGUUACUCAGGUGCUAUCGUAUUCGCGAUCGUAAUGAAUUGAAAGGAGAGCUACUGAGAUACUCUAUCCUAAAAAAAACACUAUCUAGUUUAGAGACCUUCCUCGAACUUUUCAUAAUCAGUGAUCAUGAACUACGCGAGGAAUAGUUUAAUUUUUCGCUGACUCUUUUAAGGGCCGCGUCCCGCCCGUAUCGGA
rnacentral:lncRNA from 1 species